CCUACGGGAGGCAGCAGUGAGGAAUAUUGGUCAAUGGACGAGAGUCUGAACCAGCCAAGUAGCGUGAAGGAUGACUGCCCUAUGGGUUGUAAACUUCUUUUAUAUGGGAAUAAAAUUUUACACGUGUGGGAUUUUGUAUGUACCAUAUGAAUAAGGAUCGGCUAACUCCGUGCCAGCAGCCGCGGUAAUACGGAGGAUCCGAGCGUUAUCCGGAUUUAUUGGGUUUAAAGGGUGCGUAGGUGGAUUGUUAAGUCAGAGGUGAAAGUUUGCGGCUUAACCGGGAAAUUGCAGUUGAAACUGGCGGUCUAGAGUAUAGUAGAGGUGGGCGGAAUUCGUGGUGUAGCGGUGAAAUGCUUAGAGAUCACGAAGAACACCGAUUGCGAAGGCAGCUCAC
rnacentral:rRNA from 1 species